ensembl:lncRNA
GGAGACAAGACCGGUGAGGAGGCGGCUCAUAGCUGAGGAGGGAGGCAAACAACAACACAGGGACCAGGCAGGAGUGUAGAUAAAUAUUUUAUAAGUUUUGCUUUACAUUUUAUACGUUUUGCUUUACAUUUCUAGAAGAAGUUAUUUUGAGGUCUUGUCAUGAUAAUUUGUUAGACGUUAAAAGUGUAGAAGUAGUUGUUCUUGUCGUGAUACGUGCUCACUGAAUGGGACUCAAAAGGAUACGUGCUUACUGAAUGGGACUCAAAAGGUUAUUCCCUGUGUCUGGGUAAAUCCUAUUUCUUCCGGUUCAACCAUCCUGAAGAGGCAAGCAGAAUGAAGAGCAUGCUUCCACAAAAGAGCCCUGUGUCAGCUUUAGCCUACAACACAGACUACCUGAAAGUUUAGCAGUGACUAUAGCCAUGCGGUGGUGGGCGGCAGCAGCAGUUCUAGGGGCAUGCGAUCAGCCUCGGAGCUCCAGGACUUGAUGGACACCCUGCAGCGCAAGAAGAUUGCCCUGGAGAACAGCCUGAGAGCCAACGGGAAUGCAAACCCCUCCUACUUCAGCGUGACACAGUCUCCUCCCACCACACCUAUCACAAGUCCUGCUACAUCCUCAUCAGCCUAUCAGGACCAGGCAAGGCGUUUCUAUGGCUCAGAUCGUGCGCCAUUGUCUUUGAAAUCUGGACGACGAUCCGACCCUUCUUCUUCAGUCAGUCGCAACAAAGACAAGUUCGGCAUUGGCGAUAGCCGCCGACUACACAACCUGGGCUCAACUUCUUUACUGUCCACAUGGAAUGGCGGAGGCUCCUCCGUUUCUGUUGAUGGUAGCAAUAACUUACUCCUCUCUCUUCCUCCUCCCUCCUCCUCAUCUCGCACUCCAUCAACAGGAGGUGCAGCCAGCAUGCCAUCAAGCCCCCGUCUUGGCCGCCGUAGCAAUGGCAACCAAGAGCCAUUGCCCAGCAAUAGAACCAGGAAAUACUCAGCAGGCUCGCUAAGUGGGAUGAUGGGAGGAGGGCACAGUCGCUCGCUGCCACGCCUCUGCCCCUCCCAAUCUCCCCAUGAAAACAACAACGGAGUCCUGACCUUGUCAACGCUGCCGCCACGGCGAUCCGAUGUUGCUGGCAGUUACAAAUUUAGCAAAGACAAUUACAACAACAGUCAGAAUGCCAGCCCUGACCUCAACUACAACUCUAGUAACUCCAGCCAGCUUUCCUCCAACAGGAAUCAAAUGCAGACCAAAAAACAGGGAGAAAGUGUUGUGUCUAUCUCCCUCUCCUCCCCUAAGAUUUUGCCCUCCGCUACCCCCUCUACCUCUUCCACAGCCACCCCACCUGAUGUGACCAUCCCAUCCAGGACGGGGGGGCUCCUCUUCUCCUCGUGUGGCCAAAAAACUCAGCCUGACCUCCACUAGCUCUGUGGGCUCCAUCAGCUCCACGAGCUCCAGUCCUCCAGAGUUGCAACGGUCUUUGGGGGAGAGGGAGAGGGAGAGGGAGAGGCGAGGGGUAGCCGCUGGUGCCCUGGGACUUGGACUUGGAGAGAGGAGGUCUUCAUUUGGGA